CGACGAACGAGCGGCUACAGUGAGGAGAGGAGGGAAGGACUGCGAAUCUGCAAAACUUUCAAUAACUGACCGUUGCUCUCUCUCUCUCUCUCUCUCUCUCCCUUGCAUCU
rnacentral:ribozyme from 1 species